rnacentral:sRNA from 1 species
GCACGCAGGGGGAGGAAGGAAAACAGGGACCAGUUUCAUGUUCUUCCGCCGCAAGGUUCUGCUUUCCCUAGCCGAGACAUCGGUGUCACAGGAGCUACAGGGGAAACAUUGAAUGCCUGUCUGUUUCUGUUUUCUGUUGCUGUUGACUUUUGGUGGCUUGGUCCAUGGCCUGAGCAAACAAAAGUCCCCACCACACAUUUAUUCAGGGGUUGGUGAGUGAUGAACUGCCUAGGGCGUACCUAUUGAUAGUUUGCUUGAUGGUAAUAACUACCCAAGCAUUUCUUUUCGUCCCUGGCUACUGUUCCAUGAUAGGGGGUCACGGUUAGCUCAGCUUCGCUUUUUUUUUAAAGAAAAUAAAAUUUUAAAGCUGGCGUGGCAAAGCUCACCUUGUGGCUUUUCUUUGUCACUUCAGGUUUGCCCGGCAGGGAAAGAAAGUAAACAUC